rnacentral:sRNA from 1 species
CAGGCGAUGGUUGGGCGCAAGUUGCGUCGAGGAAACGGCCGACGGCAGCGCCGCCAGAGUCUGCGCUUGUGUUUGGAGAGGUUGGGGGUGGCGACAAGGGGCGGACGUUGGUGUUGAGGAGUGGGGUUGGGCUUGGAGGGAAGGUGAAGGGGAAAGCAGGUGUGGCUGGUUCUGGAAGUGAAAGUAGGAGUGAGGGUGGUUGGAAGCCGUUUCCUGCAGGGUUUGCGGAGGAUGUUGUUGACGAUUGGGAAGAGGAGGUUGAGAAGGAGGAGAAGGGCCAACUCGGUGUAUCCGAGAAUGGUGCCAUUGGAGGUUGAGGAUGCGGGAUCGAAUGAAAAUUGGGAUUGUAAAUUGAGGGUGCGAGUGGAAGUGUGAACGAGGACUGACCGGUGAUGGGUGUUGGCACAAUGAAUGUUGGAAACAGGGAGCUGAUUUGAUUGAUUAGGUAGGAGAAAGCGUCUCUCCUAGGCCUUCUUAUCAAUCCAUCCCCUGUUAGCACCUCUGUGCUAAUACAUACCGAGUUUGUGCAUCGUGCUAGACGAUAAUGCGAUACGCUUACACUUGUACCGUACAUCUUCAGAAGCUAUCACUCUCACACACACAUGUAUGUAUACGCAGUAUAUAUAUAAGCGAAAAAACUACUUGUGGAAUUCAUAGUAUACAUGAACAUUUGGCCUCUUGAUCAACAGAUCUACAUAACAAAACACCCCUUUUCAUUAGCUCUUUGAAUCUGGUUCCUAAAUCUGGUCGUCUGAGAGCCAGCAACGUAUUUGAAGUCCCGAAACUGAAAUAAAUAAAAAAAAAAUUGGAAAACAUUGCACAAUAAGUAAAUAAAUAAAUAAAUUAUUAGAAGCAAAAAGAUGUGUGAAAAUGUGCGCAAACUGAAGGGGGAAUCGUGAGACUUGAACAGAAUGCGGAGAUAUAAAUUGAGAUGACGACGAUGAUGCUGAGACGAGAUGAGAUGAGAUGAGAUGAGAGACAGAGGCAUAAAUCCAACACAAUAGACCAAAAGAAAAGUAGGA